GGUAGGAUGGCCGAGUGGUUAAGGCGGUGGAUUUAAGUACCAAACUUAAAUUCCCACUGGUAGUACCGCGUGGGUUCGAUCCCCACUCCUACCA